GUGUUGUAUGAAAGGAGCGAUGGUUAGCACUCCUCCCCACCCCACCACAAGGAUGGAGGAGCCCUGGAGCCUCACAGCACGGUCAAGGCAUUGCCACCUACUUUGUUGCAUCUAACCACUGUUUUGU